rnacentral:rRNA from 1 species
UGGGGAAUAUUGCACAAUGGGCGCAAGCCUGAUGCAGCCAUGCCGCGUGUGUGAAGAAGGCCUUCGGGUUGUAAAGCACUUUCAGCGGGGAGGAAGGCGAUAAGGUUAAUAACCUUGUCGAUUGACGUUACCCGCAGAAGAAGCACCGGCUAACUCCGUGCCAGCAGCCGCGGUAAUACGGAGGGUGCAAGCGUUAAUCGGAAUUACUGGGCGUAAAGAGCACGCAGGCGGUCUGUCAAGUCGGAUGUGAAAUCCCCGGGCUCAACCUGGGAACUGCAUUCGAAACUGGCAGGCUAGAGUCUUGUAGAGGGGGGUAGAAUUCCAGGUGUAGCGGUGAAAUGCGUAGAGAUCUGGAGGAAUACCAGUGGCGAAGGCGGCCCCCUGGACAAAGACUGACGCUCAGGUGCGAAAGCGUGGGGAGCAAACAGG